rnacentral:snRNA from 1 species
GUGCUCACUUCAGCAGCACAUAUACUAAAAUUGGAACGAUACAGAGAAGAUUAGCAUGGCCCCUGCGCAAGUAUGACAGGCCAA